CCCUACUCGAGGCCAGGGCUGCAAAUGAGGCCUGUUUGAAGGGAAGGCCGCAAGCACCGCCGGCCCUUUCCCCUUGCCUUCUGCCUCGAGGGAAGAGGGCAGCCCUGGGCUCAAUGGCUGCCGGGCCAAGAGAACCGGGGCCCUGGACUCAUCGGAUCCAUUUACUGCUGAAACAGAAGAGAUCCACAGGAAGAGGAGAAAGAUGUGGGAAGGAAGACCAAGAAGAAUAGAAGGAAAGCUGUUUGAAGCAGGACAUUUGGUGCUGGCAUCCCUGCUGUCUCUCCUGCUGACCCUUUUCUAGAACUCAUUCUCCUGCCUCUCCACCCUUUUCAUCCCUUUCCUCUAAGGCAGUAGUUCUCAACCUGGGGUCCCCAGAUGUUUUGGGUCUACAACUCCCAGAAAUCCCAGCCAGGUUACCAACUGUGUUAGGAUUUCUGGGAGUUGAAGGCCAAAACAUCGGGGGACCUCAGGUUGAGAACCAGUGCUCUAAGGGCCCUUCCACACAGUCAUAUAGCCCAGAAUAUCAAUGCAGAAAACCCCACAAUAUCUGCUUUGAACUGGGUUAUCUGAGUCCACACUGCCAUAUAUUCCAGUUCAAAGCAGAUAAUGCAGGAUCUUAUUCAGCUGUGUGGAAGGGGCCUAGGUCUUCUCAAGCAAAUGCACUCAAAAGAAGAAGCAUAACAAAUAUUCUCAUCGUCUCCCUUGAGCAAUAAGGAGUUUUGAGGACUGAAACAGAAAUCAGAACAAUACAUCUUCUGCCUUUCCAUUUCCCUAGGAAUGGCCCCCUGAUCAAUUCACCAAAGCAGAUCCCUCUGCAAUACACUCUGCUAAAGGCCAGAAAACCAGCUGCUCUUCACAGCUGGAUUUGGCAAGCUGAACUGUGUCAACUCUAGUGCUCAGUAGCAAAAGCCUUUUUUACAGCCCACCUGGGGACUGGCAUUGUUUACUUAACUGCUAAGCGGCUAGGGACAUGCUCUGCAUAGACUAUUAAGCCACCAUAGGAACUGUUGCCUGGUGCCUUUGGAUUCGAAGUAUAAUGGUGGAGUUUUACAGGAAAAUUCAGCCAACCAGUACAUGACUUUAAAACCAAUGCAGGUGUACAGUGUGGUUAUAUUUGGAGUCAGUGCAAAUUGCAUGGGUAAUGGGCACAAUAAAUCCUCCUUGUAAGACAUUAAGCAGGACACACACUUAAUGAAAGUAUGAAGUGGGAAUUGUUAGUAUUAGUAAGGUUAGCUAAAUGAUGUGAUGUUAGAGUAACAUGGGAAGAAGGAUAAUCUGAAAGUAUUCACCAAAUGUUUCUGGGUGUUAUGUGAGUGCUGCAUACUUUGACCUGUUUAUUACUAUAGUCACAAUUCUGGAUAAUGUGGCUAUAGUAAUUGUUAUGGUUGCAUUGUCACAGGAUAUCUAUGCCCUACACCGCUUGUUCUGUCACGCGCUGGGCCUGUAACUAUUGUCUUUGUAUAGGACGUAUACUUUAUUCCCACUGGAAAGCCAGGGCGCCUAAAAAGAGGUUCUUGAGGAUUUCCCUGAAAAGGAUGGCCUUUUGAGUCUUUAAUGAAAUAACAAAGUCUUUAUUGACGAACAAAUAAUAAAUCUUCAAGGAGUCAAAUAACACUUCAAGGUUUCCUUAAUAAACUGUUGGCUUUUCAAUCUUGUCCUCAGGGGACGGGCAAUUGGCUUUGGAUAACUGUACUUUCUCUGUAAGAAGAAAAUCCCCUUAUAAUCUCUCCCAGGCUGUCUAUCAAAUGGGCCUAGUUGAUGUGGGACCUACUACCGAUUCCAAAUGCGCCUGGGUAUCGAGUAGACCUACCAACCAAGGCUUGCAGAUGUUUCAGCUGGGGUUCCGUGGAUCUGUGAUGCUGUUCUCUCUCCCUGGUUUCUUUGGAAACUUUAGGGCUGUUUCCCUCAGGAGCUGUGAAGCUGAGAGGCUGUGAGCUCUCAGCCAGAGCUUUUGGGACUUUCCCCCUGGAAUUUCUGUUUCUGUUUUCUCUGAUGUUCUGUAUCCCUGGAUGUUCUUGAGAUAUUAAGCUUUUCUACGGGACGAGCUGGUCUACGUCCUAUAGCUUAGCUUCCUUAAGUGAGACUGACUUAAAAAUGGCUCCUUCCCUCCCAGAGCCCUGAACAAGGGGCAGAACCAAACUUAAUGAUGAUUGACAGGCGGCCUGUCCCAUGACUGCAAACAUUAGCAGCAAGAAAAUAAAGUCGGAGCUUCUGGUACAGCCGUACCAGCACGCCGCUGGAGAAAUUGUACUGUUUAGCUGGUAUUGCACCAUCUGACAUCCGUUGGGAAGUAGCAGCCAGUAAUGAAAGGACCAAGGCAUUGACAUCCCUGGCCCAUCCUCUGUUUGGAUAUCAGCCAGCAUGCCAAUGCCUUAAAUCAAGAAACAGCUUUCUAAGAUCCACUGAGAUACUCGCAGGAACAUCUCAGCAAGCAAGAGUACAAAAGUGGCAGGCUAAAACACGGAACCUCAAUCAGUUGCUGAUACUGGAUCAGAAACUCCUCCCUGGGCACACAAGACUGGACUAAGGCGCUGAACAGACUGCGCUCUGGCACCACGAGAUGCAAAGCCAGUUUUAAGAAUUGGGGCUACAAAGUGGAAUCCACGACAUGCGAGUGUGGAGAAGAGCAGACCACAGUCUACUUACUACAAUGCAACCUGAGUCCUGCCACAUGUACAAUGGAGGACCUUCUCACAGUGACACCAGAGGCACUUCAAAUGGCCAGCUUCUGGUCAAAGGAAAUCUAGUAUAAUGCCAAGUUUUUCACUUUGUUUGUGUUUUUAAAUACAGUAUAACUGUAUCCUCAAUUCGCUUUUGACACGAUAAAAAAAUAAUAAACCUUGUAAAUGGUUAAAUUUUCACCAAUAUUCAUCAAUACCCAUUGGGAGGCAAACAAUAUAAAUCUCCUACUUGCAAUUUUCCCCAUGAGAAGGAUAGCAGUAAAUGAGCAACAGAUAUUUUAACAUAUGUGCUUUAUUUCUCCAACAUUAAACACAGCAUGUAUAUCAUUAUGAACAGUGUUAUAUUUGGAGACAAAACAAAUUAGUUUUAGAAUCAUUUGCAUUAAUUUAAAAAGUCCUCACUCAAAUUUUAUAGAUAUGCAUUUAUUGGAUAUUGUAAAUGCUGGCAAGAUCUUGCAUCAGAUAUGUAGUCAUGAUGUUGUGCUUAUAAUCUCUCUCCCAGAAUUUACCUUAAAGUCCAAUCACCCAGGGACAGAUGGCUGGUGAGCUGGGUGCUGUAGAAUGACAUUUCUAUCCCUUUCCAAUAGCAAUAAUCUUUGUUGAACCCUUCAGUGCUCUUCUCAGUAGCACUAUAAAAUUCUGUUCUUUUUUAUGGGAUCUCAGAUUUUUAAAUAGGUUUGGGGGCAACCCUCAAGGGGCCGGGCUGUGGCGCAGCUGGUUAGUAGCCAGCUGCAAUAAAUCACUACUGACCGAGAAGUCAUGAGUUCAAAGCCCGGGUCAGAUUGAGUGCCUGACCAUUAAAUAGCUCCAGUCCGUUGUUUACCUAAGCAACCCGAAAGACAGUUGCAUUUGUCAAGUAGGAAAAUGUAGGGACCACUUAUGUGUGGAGGCUAAUUUGACUAAUUUACGUCACCAUAAAAAUGUCCAGCAGCCUGCGUGUGCUGGCAGAUGAGGAAGUAUUCCAUCAAGGACUCGGCAUCACAGUGGAUGAUGAAGCAACAGCUCCUCCUGUGGCCAGAAUCGAGCAUACCUUCACAAAGCCAGAAGCUGGAAUGUGUUAAAUAGCCUCUGUGUGUCUGUCUCUCUGUGUGAGAGAAUUCAAUGGCAUUGAAUGUUUG
rnacentral:lncRNA from 11 species